rnacentral:snRNA from 1 species
GGAUGUCAGGGUGAUCUGGCUGCAGCAUCUGUCACUCCAGCGAUCUCCAGGGUUGAUUCUGCUGAUCUGGCUGGCUACGCCAGUGGCCCCUUCCUUCCUCACCACUCAAUGUGCUUACCUCCCAAAGCUGUGUGCUUGGGUGAAGAGGACAAGCUUCCCCAAAUAAAGGUGGACCAUCCUUCUGCCAAGGGUGUGUGAGUGGCUGUGCUCCCGUCCCCUGCUAGAACCUUCAAAAAGCUACAUUGUCAAGAGAAGUUAAGACAAACAACAACAACAAACAAACAAGCAAGCAACAGAUACCCAUGC